GACGAACGCUGGCGGCGUGCUUAACACAUGCAAGUCGAACGGAAAGGCCCUGCUUUUGUGGGGUGCUCGAGUGGCGAACGGGUGAGUAACACGUGAGUAACCUGCCCUUGACUUUGGGAUAACUUCAGGAAACUGGGGCUAAUACCGGAUUGGAGCUCCUGCUGCAUGGUGGGGGUUGGAAAGUUUCGGCGGUUGGGGAUGGACUCGCGGCUUAUCAGCUUGUUGGUGGGGUAGUGGCUUACCAAGGCUUUGACGGGUAGCCGGCCUGAGAGGGUGACCGGCCACAUUGGGACUGAGAUACGGCCCAGACUCCUACGGGAGGCAGCAGUGGGGAAUAUUGCACAAUGGGCGGAAGCCUGAUGCAGCAACGCCGCGUGCGGGAUGACGGCCUUCGGGUUGUAAACCGCUUUCGCCUGUGACGAAGCGUGAGUGACGGUAAUGGGUAAAGAAGCACCGGCUAACUAUGUG
rnacentral:rRNA from 1 species